UUUCAUUAUUUAUUUUUGGUCGAGCACCCAAUUUAGAUGUGCAUAUUUUUUGCUAUUUUUUAUAUUGAAUGGUAUUGCAAUAAUUGUCUUAUGGUUAUUAUAAUGGUUAUUAUAACUUCAGAUAUUUCUGUUAUAGCAUUGCAAUGUUUACAGAAGGUACCUAUUUUAACUCACUCGGGGAGACGGAGUGGCAAGUAUUAAUUGAUUUGUUUACAAAUGUGAUAUCAGUGGUCUAACGGGAUAAAGGUCUAAUUUAUGUCAAUUUAUGUAUAAUGGUAGUAUCUGCUAGUAGAACUCUAUUACAUAAUGUAACCCAAUUUCUACCCAAAUACGUCCCUUUCACAUUUCACACUGUAUACAGUUCCACUGCUGCACAAUUAGUUCCUGUGACAAGCACUCCUCACUGUAGCUUAAGCAACAUUUUUGUUAUUAGGACACAAACACUGUUUAUAGAGGUUUAAUCUGACAUGGAUAUGAGUAAACAAUGACAAAAUGUUUAUUUUAAAAUAAAUUGUUUGAGUUGGAUGCUAGUGCCAAUUAUGAAUUUGUUGAUUACAGUGCAUUUGCAACCUCAAGGGGAGUUAAAAGAGAGUGGGACCUCAAAACCACAAAACACAGUUUCCAAACCGAUUUGGUGUCAUGUGGUAUCCACACACUUGCAGUUGCCACUGAAUUUAUGAAGGCUGCUGGCUUCAUUACCCUGUUCCGGUGCCUUGUAAUACAACAAGAGAGAAUCCAUCCAUAUGUUAUAUGCAUAUAAAUACAUGCACAAAAAGCAGAUACAGGUCAUACACCAACAGGCAUGACCAAGACAUGUUAUUGACUGGUUGAAUCAAUGCACUAGUCAUGAUGACGUUUCAUCAUUUAGGUGAUCUCUUACAUUUAUGUCUUGUGUUUAACUCAACUGACCCAGACCUGUUAGUCAAGCCCACUGGAUCUGCUGAAUCUGCACUACAACAGGGUAAUUUUUCAAAUUCUUACAUGUGUUCUGAUUCAAUAUUAACAUUUAUCUAUUUUAGCAUGCUGCAAUAUGCAAUGUGUAGAUAAUGUUAAAACAGUGCCUGAGUUUAGUUUAUUUGUUAGAAACAAGUAUUGUUUGCUUCGAAACAAGUGUUGUUCAGCUUCCCACUUUGUUAACAUGUACUUUAAUGUUAACAUGGGUUCUGACUUAUUUUGGAACAGAGGACAUCGUUAUAUCCAUGUUGGAGGCAAUAGGAAAACCUAUAGCCUGUUGCAGUGAGGGAGAGACAGAGGAAGACAAGGAGGAAGAGAAGCAUAAGCACAAUGGAGAAAGAAAUAGGGAUGACCAGGGAGUGCAGGAAAAGGAAAAGAGAGUGUACAAAGUUUUAGGAAGGCUAACAGCACAAAGAAAGACCUACCAUGUAGAUGAAGAUGAAUUGAGGAGUAGAGUCAAAGAAAACAUGACCACAAACAUGUUCUGAAUAUUGCUAAGGGUUUGUACAGUAUUGCAUACAUUUACAUAUAAAAUGCAAAAAUAUUUAUAAUAGGUAGUGAAAAAUUAAAAGGGCCACCAAUAAAGAAGCAUAAAUAUCUUCACUGUAAUUGUUUUAUGCAAGGUGUAUGAUCUUGGAUUAUUAGUGAUAGUAAAUCAUACACAGUUUGCCACAAUGCCCCACAUGGCUAUUCACAGAAUACUGUUAUUUAGAAAACCCUGUUCAUGUGCUUUGCAUCUGUGACACUGUACUUGUUUAUACAUACGUUGGCAAAAAAGAUGUUCCACCUAAUGUGCUUCAGCAGCCUAGAAAGGCAAAGACAAAGGUGACAAUAAUCAGCACUUUAACAGAGGGAGAGGCGGAAGCUCUUGCCAAGGGGUUUGGAAUGGCACUGGCCAAACAUGUGCCAAAAGACAAACUACUCUCAGGGAUUCCAGAAGAGGACAUCCCAGCAACACUCACUGAACAAAUGGAGAUUAAUCUACAAAACCCUGGCCCUGAAUCAGAGCUGGAUCUGGUCACUCACCGCUUUGGGCCUACAGCAGCUAAUAUGUUUUUAUCCUUUUUAGCGGACUGUAUGAGAAUCUGCUUCAGUAAAUGGCACAUAUACUGUACUUGGAUCAGAUUUGCAAAUAAAAACAGAAAGGUUCUUGAUCACAAUUUGAUUUUUAUUUCAUUUUAUACACAAAAUACAAUGUUUUUUGUUUUAUUAUUGGCUGAUUGACAAUAUGUACAAUGUUCAAAAUGUUCAAAAACAUGCAGUUUGAGUUUCUCUCAAACCUUAAUUGAUUUAGUUAUUUUGGCCACUGUUAGCUUUGUGUUUUCUAUUUGACUUAACAGGAAACUUAAUGUGACAUCUGUCAUUAUUGUUAGGGUUGUUUUUCUGUCUGUCUUUCUUUUUCUGUUUGCAAACAGUGCAUGUAUUUGUCUGUAUCACAAAGUCUCCCAAAUCCUUUAACAGGGUUCCCACUUUUUUUCAGAGAUCAUUUUCCAGGACGUUUCAAAUUUAGGAAAAAAGACAAGGAUCACAGAUUCAUGGCCUAAAG